rnacentral:lncRNA from 1 species
AUAAGAAUCCCACCAAGAUCUUGCAGAAUCUAAAUCCUCAGUAAAGCACACCCCAGAAUGCUCCCACAGCAAUGGGUCAUGGGUGACACUGGACGCCAGGUCGGUCUCUCACUCCUCACAUUGAGAACAUCUACAUCAGACAGCUGCUUGAUACAUUGAUUCCGUGGGCCAGGUCCAAUCACUCCUCCAAUGACGUAUAUCUCACCUCCCAGUCCAAUCAUACCAAACCCAAUCCGGCUCUGGAACUCCGAUGCAGAUGAUACAACCUCAUC